rnacentral:rRNA from 1 species
UACGUAGGGUGCAAGCGUUGUCCGGAUUUAUUGGGCGUAAAGAGCUCGUAGGCGGUCUGUUGCGUCGGCUGUGAAAACCCGGGGCUCAACCCCGGGCCUGCAGCCGAUACGGGCAGACUAGAGUUCGGCAGGGGAGACUGGAAUUCCUGGUGUAGCGGUGAAAUGCGCAGAUAUCAGGAGGAACACCGGUGGCGAAGGCGGGUCUCUGGGCCGAUACUGACGCUGAGGAGCGAAAGCGUGGGGAGCAAACAGG